rnacentral:misc_RNA from 1 species
UCUCUUUCUCUCUCUCUCUCUCUUGAAUAGAAAUCAGAAACAGGGGAAAAGAUAGACACGGAGAGAGAGAGAGUCAGACAGAGCUUCAGAUCUGACCCCCCUCUGUCAAGAGGGUCUUCUCUUCUUGCUUCCAUUCCUUCAUUUCUUCUGUUAUCGUAUCCAAUUCCGUCUUUCUUUCACUUCUUCCCUGCCCCAUUCUGUUUAGCUACCGUUUUGGUUCGCAUCUAUUGUACUUGACCACUUAAUAUUGUUUUACUUAUGUUGGUCUAUUCCUGGUUUUUGUUGUUUCUGUUGGAUUUGUUUGCUGGAAUUUUUUUUUUUGUGUAUUUCCUCUGUGAUUAACAUGGUUUUUCAAUGAUUUUAUGUAUUUUUGCGAUAAUUGUUUGUUGCUCAAUUGAGUUAGCUUUGAUUUUUUUUUUCUUAAAUUAAUGGAUUUCAUAUAUCAAUGGCAUGGCCAUGGUCUUUUUGAGUUUUAUUUGGUAUCUAAUUGGUUGUAUUAUCUGGGUUUUUUUCAUUCAACGAUCGGUAUAUGUUCUACUUGAUUGCUUAUUGUGGUAAACAGCUGGCCUGUAAGAUUGAUAGAUUCAUUGAUUUGGUGAUCUUGAGUUCUUCAAUUUAUUUUAAUUAUUCUUGUUCAACUAUUUGAUCCUUCAUCAACAACGCUCUCAAAACAAAUGGAUUUGUACUGAUUUGAUAGUAAUAUAUAAGUGUGUUUGUUGAAACUUUAUUUACAUAAUAUUUUAUUGCUUUGUCAAUCAGGUUUUCCAUUUUUCAAGGUUGAUCGCUGCUCAGAAGAAUGGGUGUGGAGGUUGGUGGAUCUGAGAUGGCUCAAGUACCUGUUGAGACUGUUACUGAAGUAGAUAAUUCAUUUUUGCAUGACAAGGAAAAUGGAAAGCUGGAUAAGGAAUCUGGUUUUAAACCUAUAAAAUUUGGUUCGCAUGAGGAGGAGCCAGCUAAAGGAGAAGGGGAUGAGGUUGCAGAUUCUAAGUUCCCAACGGAUGCAGCUGAUGAGUGGCCUGCUCCAAAGCAGAUCCAUACCUUUUAUUUUGUAAGAUACCGACCAUUUGAUGAUCCUAAAAUAAAAGCCAAAAUUGACCAGUAUGACAGGGAGAUUCAGAAGAGCAAUCAGUCCCGUUUUCAGAUUACUGAAGAAUUGAAAGCAAAGAGGUCAGAGCGUGCAGAAUUGCUGGGACAAGUGAAGGCUCUAAGAAAUGAGAAUGUACAGUACAAAACAAUUUUUAAUGAGAAGAAAAAGGAAAUAGAACCUCUGCAGCAGGCACUGGGUAAGCUGCGGAACACAAACAAUGCAGGUCGUGGUGGUCUAUGUUCAUCUGAGGAAGAACUUAAUGAUCUUGUAUGUUGUAAUUGCUAGUGUUAUUGAUCUUGCUUGAUUUAAUUGCUAGUGUUUCUGUAACAUUGUUAUUCAACAAUUUUUUUGAGCAGUAGUGGCUGUUGCUCCAUUUUUACUUGCCUUAUGCUUUGGUAUUGUUGAAUUUAGAUAUACAGCUUGCAAUAUCGCAUACAGCAUGAGAGCAUCCCAUUAACAGAGGAGAAGCAAAUACUUAGAGAAAUCAAACAGCUCGAGGGGACAAGGGAAAAAGUAAUUGCUAAUGCUGCUAUGAGAGCAAAGAUUCAAGAUUCAUUGGGCCAGAAAGAAGCUAUUCAAGAUCAGGUCAAACUUAUGGGUGUGGAUUUGGAUGGAGUAAAAAAAGAGCAACAGGCAGUUUGGGGAAGAAUUAACCAACUCAGGGAAAAAGUGAAUGGAUUAGAUUUUGAAAUCAAGUCCUUACAGGAUGAUCUGACAGCUGUGAUGCAGAAGAGGGACAAAGCAUACGACAAUAUCAAGUCGUUAAGGCAACAACGUGAUGAAGGGAAUGUUCACUUCUAUAAUAGCCGCAAGACCAUGACUGAAGCUAAAGACCUUGCUGCAAAGAAAGAUAUAAAGGCUCUUGAGGAGCUUUCCUGUGAAGAGGUUGAUAAAUUUAUGUCCCUUUGGAGCAAUAACAAGGCCUUUAGGGAUGAUUAUGAGAAAAGAAUUUUGCCAUCACUUGACAGUAGACAGUUGAGUAGGGAUGGACGAAUCAGAAACGCUGAUGAGAAGCCAUUGGUGGUAUUGGAGACAGCAGUACCAUCUGAACCAGAGCCAGUGGCAAAAGCUAAUAUUAAACGAGUGAAGGAAGAACCAAAAUCCACUCCACAAAAGGAUACUUUGCCCACCCAGAAGGUCCAGAAAGAAUCAAGUAAGACAGAUUCAAAGGCCACUUCAGAGCAUAUUGAUGUGGCUGAUGAGAUCUCUGGGUCAGAAAAGCAGCAAAAAAAUCAUCCUGUAAAGAAGGAAAUAGAUGAAGCAAAAUUGAAGGAGCUCAAAAGAGAAGAAGAGAUGGAAAAAGCUAAGCAAGCCAUGGAGAGGAAGAAGAAAUUGGCUGAGAAAGCUGCAGCUAAAGCAGCUAUAAAAGCUCAAAAGGAAGCUGAAAAGAAGAUUAGGGAAAUUAUUACUUUAUUCCCUCCAUCUAAUAAUUGCUUACUAUUUACCAUUUGGUUGCAUUUAGAAUCUUAAACAUUACUUCUGAUUUUUACUUACAGGAGCGUGAAAAGAAAUUGAAGAAGAAAGCUGCAGCAUCUGCAUCUAUGAUUGAAUCUGAGGAUCCAGCUGAAGAAGUUGUGGAGGAAACAGAAACUGAGAAGGUUGAAGCGCAUGAUGAACCUCCUGCAUCAGUGAAGGCAAAAGUUAAGAAGGAGAACUCUGUCAAGCACCGGAUUCGGUCAAGGGGCACAGAUUCACUUCCAAAAGCUAUCCUGAGGAGGAAAAAGUCAACUAAUUAUUGGAUGUGGGCUGCUGCUGCUGCUGCUUCGCUACUUCUUGUGCUUGUAGCUCUGGGAUGCUACUAUCUUCUGUGAAGAAUCUAAACUAGGAUUAAGUAGAAGAGUUGUGGACAAUUUUCUGCUUGAUGAGCAUGCAAAUUGGCUAGGUUUGUAGUAGCAGGAAUUAAGACAUUUUUUUUCCGUUGCAUCCUGUCCUUGGAUUGGAUAGACUGAAAGCUCAUAAAUCAUAAUGUUGGUGGUAGUAGUUCAGGCAGUUCAAAAUAUUUAGCAGGGAAGAAUGACAUUCAUUUUGUUUGUUUUUGUUUUUAUGUGCUUCCGAAUUUUGAUUUUGUUAACUUUCAUGAAAGUUAAGCCUGCGCUUUAUUUGGCAAGUUGAUGAGUGCUUAUUUUCAGCAUGUAUUAUGUGCUCUUUUCAUUUUCAUUUGACAAUAGAAUUUUUCUCUGA